UCCCUAUUUGUCAUCAUGCUCAGAAGUCACUGAGUAUGGUGGCACAUGCCUUUAAUACCAGCACUAGGGAGGCUGAGGCAGGAGGAU
rnacentral:miRNA from 1 species